GACGUAGGGCGCGAGCGUUGUCCGGAAUCACUGGGCGUAAAGGGCGCGUAGGCGGCCUGAUAAGUAGGGGGUGAAAUCCUGCGGCUUAACCGCAGGGCUGCCUUCUAAACUGUCAGGCUGGAGCACAGUAGAGGCAGGUGGAAUUCCCGGUGUAGCGGUGGAAUGCGUAGAGAUCGGGAAGAACAUCAGUGGCGAAGGCGGCCUGCUGGGCUGUUGCUGACGCUGAGGCGCGACAGCGUGGGGAGCAAACAGGG
rnacentral:rRNA from 1 species